rnacentral:rRNA from 1 species
CACGUAGGGCGCAAGCGUUGUCCGGAAUUAUUGGGCGUAAAGAGCUCGUAGGCGGUCUGUUACGUCUGCUGUGAAAACCCGGGGCUUAACCCUGGGCUUGCAGUGGAUACGGGCAGACUAGAGGCAGGUAGGGGAGAAUGGAAUUCCCGGUGUAGCGGUGAAAUGCGCAGAUAUCAGGAAGAACACCUAUGGCGAAGGCAGCUCUCUGGGACGGUACUGACGCUGAGACGCGAAAGCGUGGGGAGCAAACAGG